GGUAAAAAUUGUGAAAAAUCACGUAAUGGACAAUGGCAGAGCAAGUCUUAUCACAGUUAACGAACACUAUGAGUACCUAAUGAGUUUUUGCAGUAAAUAAUUUUGCCAAAGUUGUGAUCCCGCGAAAGUUCUGUUUGUAAAUUGUAAGGAAUCGUCAAAAUAUUGGUGCAGACAUGGUUUGUGACCGGUGCUUUUCUCUUGAAAAAACACAACUGAAAUCCUUGAUCUUCAUCCCUACAAUAGAUAUCUGAAACAUGCCAGAUCUGCAUAACAGGAAUGUCGAAGAGGUUCUACCCAAAACACGCCCACAUGGCCAUCCUAAUAUCAAGAUUUUUCAAAAUUUCUAUAAGAAAAAAGAUGAAAAAAACCAAUAAAAUUUCAUACCUACAUACACUUUCUACAUCUAAUUUUGUUUAUUGAUCACAUUCAUUUACUUGAAAAAGUAUCAGGCCUAUGAAUCGUCGUCUGGAAACAGCUAACCACACACCAACCUUCAUUGCGUGUGAUGGUGUUUCUUCAAAAGCGUGAGUAUUUUCUAUACACCAAAUUCUGAAGUCCUGUCAGUUGACAUAAUAGCCUAACAGAUGAAACCAGGCUUCAUCAGAAAAGAACGACAAAUCGAGAAUCCCGUUAUCGUCCAUAUCAGCUUGAAACCAACUACACUACCCAACGCGGCAAGGAAAAUCAGCUGGUUGCAGCUCCUGAACCAACAAAAUCUUGUAUGGAUGCAUAUGUAACUUCUCUUUUACGAUUUUCUGACAU